UACGAAGGGGGCUAGCGUUGUUCGGAAUCACUGGGCGUAAAGCGCACGUAGGCGGAUUUUUAAGUCAGGGGUGAAAUCCCGAGGCUCAACCUCGGAACUGCCUUUGAUACUGGAGAUCUUGAGUCCGGAAGAGGUAAGUGGAACUGCGAGUGUAGAGGUGAAAUUCGUAGAUAUUCGCAAGAACACCAGUGGCGAAGGCGGCUCACUGGCCCGAUACUGACGCUGAGGUGCGAAAGCGUGGGGAGCAAACAGGG
rnacentral:rRNA from 1 species